rnacentral:rRNA from 1 species
UACGUAUGGUGCUAACGUUGUUCGGAAUCACUGGGCUUAAAGCGCACGUAGGCGGUCGAGAAAGUCUGAUGUGAAAGCCCCCGGCCUAACCGGGGAACUGCAUUGGAAACUUCUCGGCUUGAGGACAGGAGGGGAGAGUGGAAUUCCUGGUGGAGCGGUGAAAUGCGUAGAUAUCAGGAGGAACGCCGGUGGCGAAAGCGACUCUCUGGCCUGUUUCUGACGCUGAUGUGCGAAAGCUAGGGGAGCAAACGGG